AAGUCGAACGAUGAAGUGGAGCUUGCUCCACGGAUUAGUGGCGAACGGGUGAGUAACACGUGAAUAACCUGCCCACAAUUUCGGAAUAACCCAGGGAAACCUGGGCUAAUACCGGAUACGUAAACCUGUGGCAUCACAUGGUUUUGGAAAAGUUUUUUCGAUUUGAGGAUGGAUUCGCGGCCUAUCAGCUUGUUGGUGAGGUAAUGGCUCACCAAGGCGACGACGGGUAGCCGGCCUGAGAGGGCGACCGGCCACACUGGGACUGAGACACGGCCCAGACUCC
rnacentral:rRNA from 1 species